ACUCUUGUAGCUAAACCCCAAAGCGCUGGCCUUGUAAGACAGAAAUGGAAGAAAUCACACCUCCCCAAGAGUG